GUUGUAUGGUUAAGUGACUAAGCGUACACGGUGGAUGCCUUGGCAGUCAGAGGCGAUGAAGGACGUAUUAACUUGCGAUAAGCCCAGAUUAGGCAGUAAAAGCCACUUGAGUCUGGGAUUUCCGAAUGGGGAAACCCACUUGCAUAAGCAAGUAUCAUUAACUGAAUACAUAGGUUAAUGAAGCGAACCGGGGGAACUGAAACAUCUAAGUACCCCGAGGAAGAGAAAUCAACCGAGAUUCCGGUAGUAGCGGCGAGCGAAACCGGAUUAGCCCUUAAGCUAGUUCUGCGUUAGGUGAAUGUGCUGGAAAGCACAGCGAUACAGGGUGAUAGCCCCGUAACCAAAAAUGCAUUAAUAGUGAAAUCGAGUAGGACGGGACACGUGAUAUCCUGUUUGAACAUGGGGGGACCAUCCUCCAAGGCUAAAUACUCCUGACUGACCGAUAGUGAACCAGUACCGUGAGGGAAAGGCGAAAAGAACCCCUGUGAGGGGAGUGAAAUAGAACCUGAAACCGUGUACGUACAAGCAGUAGGAGCCCACUUGUUGGGUGACUGCGUACCUUUUGUAUAAUGGGUCAGCGACUUAAUUUUAGUAGCAAGGUUAACCGUUUAGGGGAGCCGUAGGGAAACCGAGUCUUAACUGGGCGUCAUAGUUGCUAGGAUUAGACCCGAAACCGAGUGAUCUAGCCAUGGGCAGGUUGAAGGUGAGGUAACACUUACUGGAGGACCGAACCGACUAAUGUUGAAAAAUUAGCGGAUGACUUGUGGCUAGGGGUGAAAGGCCAAUCAAACUCGGAGAUAGCUGGUUCUCCCCGAAAGCUAUUUAGGUAGCGCCUCGGACGAAUACUACUGGGGGUAGAGCACUGUUAAGGCUAGGGGGUCAUCCCGACUUACCAACCCUUUGCAAACUCCGAAUACCAGUAAGUAAUAUCCGGGAGACACACGGCGGGUGCUAACGUCCGUCGUGAAGAGGGAAACAACCCAGACCGCCAGCUAAGGUCCCAAAGUUAUAGCUAAGUGGGAAACGAUGUGGGAAGGCUCAGACAGCCAGGAUGUUGGCUUAGAAGCAGCCAUCAUUUAAAGAAAGCGUAAUAGCUCACUGGUCGAGUCGGCCUGCGCGGAAGAUUUAACGGGGCUAAGCUAUACACCGAAGCUGCGGCAAUAUGAACUUGUUCAUAUUGGGUAGGGGAGCGUUCUGUAAGCCGUUGAAGGUGCAUUGUAAAGUGUGCUGGAGGUAUCAGAAGUGCGAAUGCUGACAUGAGUAACGAUAAAGGGAGUGAAAAACUCCCUCGCCGGAAGAUCAAGGGUUCCUGUCCAACGUUAAUCGGGGCAGGGUAAGUCGACCCCUAAGGCGAGGCCGAAAGGCGUAGUCGAUGGGAAACGGGUUAAUAUUCC
rnacentral:rRNA from 1 species